rnacentral:rRNA from 1 species
GGCACCACAAGAACGCGUGGAGCAUGUGGCUUAAUUUGACUCAACGCGGGAAAUCUUACCGGGUCCGGACACACUGAGGAUUGACAGACAUACCUUUGCCACAAAGCAACCUAUAUUUGGCAGCGGUCACAAUAUAUAAGCAGCAGCACUAGGAAAGACGCUAGAUCUUUCAUGAUUAUGUGAUAAGUGGUGCAUGGCCGUUCUUAGUUCGUGGAGCGAUCUGUCUGCUUAAUUGCGUUUCGUUAUAUAAAUCUACUGUAGCCUCCCUUACAGGGGGUGAGAGUAAGAUAUGAAAGCAACGAACGAGAUCGCAACCUUUAGUUGACCCUUUAAUACAGGGGGGUCAUAAGCAAAUAAACUAAAGGGACCGCUGCCAAAAAUGCUUAAACCAGAGGAAGGUUGCGGCAAUAACAGGUCUGUGAUGCCCUUAGAUGUUCCGGGCUGCACACGUGCUACAAUGAUCAUUUCACUAAGCAUAAACGUGCAACGGUAGCUUCUUGUUACCCCUAAGAUACCACACAAAGAGGCACUUACGUGUCACGCGUGUGAGUACUCUAAAUCACAACAGCCUCCCCCGAAAGGGAGCUAAGUGGGUAAUCAAUUAGAAGUAAUGAUAUUCCUUGCGUUGCUUUUGCACACACCCAAUAUGAGUGAUGGAACCCUUCGUAUGCGAAUGCGUUGUGCGUAACAUUCACCUUCAUAUGUGCAAUUGUCAAUUCUUGGUGGGGACAGACCAUUGCUAAUUGUUGGUCUCGGUCUCAACUUGGAAUGCCUCGUACAGGGGGAUCAUCAUCCCCUCUGGGAUACGUCCCUGCCCUUUGUACACACCGCCCGUCGCUCUUACCGAUGGACUACGCUGCGAGUAUGACGGAUCUGUGUGCUUUACGUGUUGCGUGGGGCUUUUUGCUUCAUUGCGCGCAUGCACUAAUGAAAAGUUACGCGAACAGUGAGGUCUAAAGGAAA